rnacentral:rRNA from 1 species
GCAUAACGCGAAGAACCUUACCCACCUUUGACAUGUACGGAAUCCUUUAGAGAUAGAGGAGUGCUCGAAAGAGAGCCGUAACACAGGUGCUGCAUGGCUGUCGUCAGCUCGUGUCGUGAGAUGUUGGGUUAAGUCCCGCAACGAGCGCAACCCUUGCCAUUAGUUGCUACGUAAGGGCACUCUAAUGGGACUGCCGGUGACAAACCGGAGGAAGGUGGGGAUGACGUCAAGUCCUCAUGGCCCUUAUAGGUGGGGCUACACACGUCAUACAAUGGCUGGUACAAAGGGUUGCCAACCCGCGAGGGGGAGCUAAUCCCAUAAAGCCAGUCGUAGUCCGGAUCGCAGUCUGCAACUCGACUGCGUGAAGUCGGAAUCGCUAGUAAUCGUGGAUCAGAAUGUCACGGUGAAUACGUUCCCGGGUCUUGUACACACCG